GGGUUGUGAGGUUAAGCGACUAAGCGUACACGGUGGAUGCCCUGGCAGUCAGAGGCGAUGAAGGGCGUGCUAAUCUGCGAUAAGCGCCGGUAAGGUGAUAUGAACCGUUAUAACCGGCGAUACCCGAAUGGGGAAACCCAGUGUGACUCGUCACACUAUCAUUAACUGAAUCCAUAGGUUAAUGAGGCGAACCGGGGGAACUGAAACAUCUAAGUACCCCGAGGAAAAGAAAUCAACCGAGAUUCCCCCAGUAGCGGCGAGCGAACGGGGAGGAGCCCAGAGCCUGAAUCAGCAUGUGUGUUAGUGGAAGCGUCUGGAAAGGCGCGCGAUACAGGGUGACAGCCCCGUACACAAAAGCGCAUGUGCUGUGAGCUCGAUGAGUAGGGCGGGACACGUGGUAUCCUGUCUGAAUAUGGGGGGACCAUCCUCCAAGGCUAAAUACUCCUGACUGACCGAUAGUGAACCAGUACCGUGAGGGAAAGGCGAAAAGAACCCCGGCGAGGGGAGUGAAAAAGAACCUGAAACCGUGUACGUACAAGCAGUGGGAGCACCCUUUGGGGGUGUGACUGCGUACCUUUUGUAUAAUGGGUCAGCGACUUAUAUUCUGUAGCAAGGUUAACCGAAUAGGGGAGCCGGAGGGAAACCGAGUCUUAACCGGGCGUUAAGUUGCAGGGUAUAGACCCGAAACC
rnacentral:rRNA from 1 species